rnacentral:misc_RNA from 1 species
UACAGAGGGUGCAAGCGUUAAUCGGAAUUACUGGGCGUAAAGCGCGCGUAGGCGGUUUGUUAAGCUAGAUGUGAAAGCCCAGGGCUCAACCUUGGAACUGCAUUUAGAACUGGCAGACUAGAGUCUGAGAGAGGAGUGGGGAAUUUCCGGUGUAGCGGUGAAAUGCGUAGAGAUCGGAAGGAACACCAGUGGCGAAGGCGACACUCUGGGCCAAUACUGACGCUGAGGUGCGAAAGCGUGGGGAGCAAACAGG